GUGCUUGUUUUAGCAGUACAUAUACUAAAAUUGGAAUGAUACAGAGAAGAUUUGCAUGGCCCCUGUGCAAUGAUGACAUGCAAGUUCAUGAAGUGUUCCAUAUUUUU